rnacentral:rRNA from 1 species
GACGAACGCUGGCGGCGUGCCUAAUACAUGCAAGUCGAGCGGAGUAAAAGCGUGCUUGCACGGUUUUAUUUAGCGGCGAACGGUGAGUAACACGUAGGUAACCUGGCCAUAAGACAGGGAUAACGCACGGAAACGUGAGCUAAAACCAGAUAGGCAUUUCCACGCAUGAGGGAGAUGAGAAAGGCGAGCAAUCUGCCGCUUAUGGAUGGACCUGCGUCGCAUUAGCUAGUUGGAGUGGUAAAGGCACACCAAGGCGACGAUGCGUAGCCGACCUGAGAGGGUGAGCGGCCACACUGGGACUGAGACACGGCCCAGACUCCUACGGGAGGCAGCAGUAGGGAAUCUUCCGCAAAUGGACGAAAGUCUGACGGAGCAACGCCGCG